GAAAUGCGAUAAGUAAUGUGAAUUGCAGAAUUCAGUGAAUCAUCGAAUCUUUGAACGCACCUUGCACUCCUUGGUAUUCCUUGGAGCAUGUCUGUUUGAGUAUCAUGAAAUCUUCAAAGUAAAUCUUUUGUUAACUCAAUUGGUUUCUACUUUGGUAUUGGAGGUCUUUGCAGCUUCACACCUGCUCCUCUUUGUUCAUUAGCUGGAUCUCAGUGUUAUGCUUGGUUCCACUCGGCGUGAUAAGUUAUCUAUCGCUGAGGACACUGUAAAAGGUGGCCAAGGUAAAUGCAGAUGAACCGCUUCUAAUAGUCCAUUGACUUGGACAAUACUUUUAUGAUCUGAUCUCAAAUCAGGUAGGACUACCCGCUGAACUUAAGC
rnacentral:misc_RNA from 1 species